rnacentral:rRNA from 1 species
CCUACGGGGGGCAGCAGUGGGGAAUAUUGGACAAUGGGCGAAAGCCUGAUCCAGCCAUGCCGCGUGUGUGAAGAAGGCCUUUGGGUUGUAAAGCACUUUCAGUGGGGAAGAAAGCCUUGGGGCUAAUACCCUCGAGGAAGGACAUCACCCACAGAAGAAGCACCGGCUAACUCCGUGCCAGCAGCCGCGGUAAUACGGAGGGUGCGAGCGUUAAUCGGAAUUACUGGGCGUAAAGCGCGCGUAGGCGGUCUGAUAAGCCGGUUGUGAAAGCCCCGGGCUCAACCUGGGAACGGCAUCCGGAACUGUCAGGCUAGAGUGCAGGAGAGGAAGGUAGAAUUCCCGGUGUAGCAGUGAAAUGCGUAGAGAUCGGGAGGAAUACCAGUGGCGAAGGCGGCCUUCUGGACUGACACUGACGCUGAGGUGCGAAAGCGUGGGUAGCAAACAGGAUUAGAUACCCGAGUAGUC